UGGGGAAUAUUGGGCAAUGGGCGCAAGCCUGACCCAGCCAUGCCGCGUGAGUGAUGAAGGCCUUAGGGUUGUAAAGCUCUUUCGCCGAUGAAGAUAAUGACGGUAGUCGGAGAAGAAGCCCCGGCUAACUUCGUGCCAGCAGCCGCGGUAAUACGAAGGGGGCUAGCGUUGUUCGGAAUUACUGGGCGUAAAGCGCGUGUAGGUGGUGUUGCAAGUCAGAGGUGAAAUCCUGAGGCUUAACCUCAGAACUGCCUUUGAAACUGCAACGCUAGCAUCCGAGAGAGGAUAGUGGAAUUCCCAAUGUAGGGGUGAAAUCCGUAGAGAUUGGGAGGAACACCAGUGGCGAAGGCGGCUAUCUGGCUCGGUAUGGACACUGAGACGCGAAAGCGUGGGGAUCAAA
rnacentral:rRNA from 1 species